GACGAACGCUGGCGGCGUGCCUAAUACAUGCAAGUCGAACGCAGUGGGGACGGGUGAGUAACACGUGGGUAACCUCCCAUCAGAGGGGAUAACACUUGGAAACAGGUGCUAAACCGAUACUGAUGGAUGGACCCGCGGUGCAUUAGCUAGUUGGUGAGGUAACGGCUCACCAAGGCCACGAUGCAUAGCCGAGCGGAUGGGCGGAUCGGCCACACUGGAACUGAGACACGGCCUAGACUCCUACGGGAGGCAGCAGUAGGGAAUCUUCGGCAAUGGACGAAAGUCUGACCGAGCAACGCCGCGUGAGUGAAGAAGGCUUUCGGCUCGGAAACCACUGUUGUUAGAGAAGCGGUAUCUAACCAGAAAGCACCGGCUAACUACGUGACAGCAGCCGCGGUAAUAC
rnacentral:rRNA from 1 species